UGAGAGAAAUUCACCAAAGAACUCAUGAGG
rnacentral:piRNA from 1 species